CUAUUUAUGAGAAUUCUUCUCUCUUAUCA
rnacentral:tRNA from 1 species